UUCCUAUUGACUUCAUAUAUUAGGUAAACUCUGCCCAGUGAUUUUUCAACGGCCGCGGUAGCCUGACCGUGCGAAGGUAGCAUAAUCAUUUGCCUUCUAAUUAAAGGCUAGAAUGAAUGAGUCUUCAUAGAUAAACCUGUACCUUACUUACCUCUAAAACUUAAUAUUUAGGUGAAGAAGCCUAAAUCUGAUAAAAAGACAAAAAGACCCUAUCAAGCUUUAUAUUCUAAUUAUUCUCUAUAAAAAAAUAUUUGGUUGGGGAGAUUAAUGAGAAUUAAUAAACUCUCAUAAUUAUUUAGAUUUAUAAAUCAUACACUUUAAUUAUUUAAUAUAACAAAGCUACUGUAGGGAUAACAGGCUAAUAUUUUCUUAGAGUCCAAAUUAAAGAAAAUGGUUGGCACCUCGAUGUUGGCUUAGGAUUUCCUCUUCCUGCAGAAGGGAAGAAGGAAGGUUUGUUCAACCUUUAUUUUCCU
rnacentral:rRNA from 1 species